AUUGAACGCUGGCGGCAGGCCUAACACAUGCCAGUCGAACGGUAACAGGAAGCAGCUUGCUGCUUUGCUGACGAGUGGCGGACGGGUGAGUAAUGUCUGGGAAACUGCCUGAUGGAGGGGGAUAACUACUGGAAACGGUAGCUAAUACCGCAUAACGUCGCAAGACCAAAGAGGGGGACCUUCGGGCCUCUUGCCAUCGGAUGUGCCCAGAUGGGAUUAGCUAGUAGGUGGGGUAACGGCUCACCUAGGCGACGAUCCCUAGCUGGUCUGAGAGGAUGACCAGCCACACUGGAACUGAGACACGGUCCAGACUCCUACGGGAGGCAGCAGUGGGGAAUAUUGCACAAUGGGCGCAAGCCUGAUGCAGCCAUGCCGCGUGUAUGAAGAAGGCCUUCGGGUUGUAAAGUACUUUCAGCGGGGAGGAAGGGAGUAAAGUUAAUACCUUUGCUCAUGGACGUUACCCGCAGAAGAAGCACCGGCUAACUCCGU
rnacentral:rRNA from 1 species